GCACGUAGAAGCAGCAGCCUCAGGACACCUGUGGUGCUAAAUGCACGUAGAAGCAGCAAACUCAAGGCACCUGUGGUACCAAACACACGUAGAAGCAGCAGACUCAAGGCAUUUGUGGUACCAAACACACGUAGAAGCAGCAGACGCAAGGUGCUGGCAGCCACUGAAGUGUUGAAUCCUCCAGACUUCGUGUGCAUUCAGGCUUUGCCUGUCUUUGCCCAGAUGGCAGAAAAGGUCUUGGCCAGAAACAGAACGAUUUACAGAAGCAGUGAACCUCCAAGAGAACAAGUGUUCUGGGAGAACUACCAUAGGAGGCAAAAGCAAAUCACCCAGGGACACUUUGGCCCCAAUUGGGAGCCUUAUCAGGAGCUUAGAGAGGUUCUCUACAAAGACCUGAAGAAACUCACCCUCUAUGCUUUGGGGCGGCUUGCACAGGAACCAGUGAAAAAAGAUGUACAGGAAAAAACACCCAAAGAAGUGGCUGAGGUUACUACUAACAAGUACUCUUUCAGUCCAGAGUCUGAUCCACCAAAACCAGUGAAGGAACGCUCCCCUAUUAGAGAAACAGGAAAGGAGCUGAGGACUCUUAGUGCAGCUCUAGCUCACUCGAGGCGUCAUAUGAAUUCUGUGAAGCAAGGUGGAGAAUACUUUCAUAUACUUCACCAAGAAGCACUGGAGAGGAAGAACACACUGGAAGCAGCCCAGCAGGUUCAGGGCACGAGAUGGAGAACUGAGUUCCAGCCACCCAAAUUCUCCUCUGAUGCAGAGGAUUCAGAGGAAGAAAUAAACACGUGAGUCAAGUCAGAGGGCUUUUGGUGGUCUGAGGGCAGUGGUUUUAAAAGCGACAAUUUC
rnacentral:lncRNA from 1 species